rnacentral:rRNA from 1 species
AUUGAACGCUGGCGGCAGGCUUAACACAUGCAAGUCGAACGAGUGGCGGACGGGUGAGUAAUGCUUGGGAAUCUAGCUUAUGGAGGGGGAUAACUACUGGAAACGGUGGCUAAUACCGCAUACCAUCGGAUGUGCCCAGAUGGGAUUAGCUAGUAGGUGGGGUAAAGGCUCACCUAGGCGACGAUCUCUAGCUGGUCUGAGAGGAUGAUCAGCCACACUGGGACUGAGACAAGGCCCAGACUCCUACGGGAGGCAGCAGUGGGGAAUAUUGCACAAUGGGCGCAAGCCUGAUGCAGCCAUGCCGCGUGUAUGAAGAAGGCCUUAGGGUUGUAAAGUACUUUCAGCGGGGAGGCGUUACCCGCAGAAGAAGCACCGGCUAACUCCGUGCCAGCAGCCGCGGUAAUU